rnacentral:tRNA from 1 species
GGUCUAAUGGUAGGACGCUUGCCUCUGAAGCAGGUAAUCUUGGUUCGAGUCCAAGC